UAGAAAUACGAUCUGGGGGGCGAGGAAAUAAGGAAGGAUCGGUGCGGCAGCUGCCCCUGUACGACACGCCGUACGAGCCGGCGGAGAACGGGGGGGACUCUGACCCGGACGUGCGCUGCCCCAGAGAGAGCCGGCUGCCCCAGGAUGACGAGCGACCCCCCGAGGAGUACGACCAGCCCUGGGAGUGGAAGAAGGAGAGGAUUUCCAAAGCUUUUGCAGCUCUGCUUUGUUAUGACUGCAUUAGCUACGAGGGUUCUGUAAGUGGCACUGGAUCAGGUCCCCACGGAGGAAAGGACUGCAACUCUAAACCCCUCACAGUAGAGAUUAAAGUGAUCAAGGACCUACCGUGGCCCCCCCCUGUCGGGCAGCUCAACACCAGCCCUCCCCUGGUGGAGGGGCUGGAGUCUCCCUCGCAGACGGCUCAGCCCUCGCCAGGACAGACCAGCUGUGACCAGCACC